GAUGAACGCUGGCGGCGUGCUUAACACAUGCAAGUCGAACGGAAAGGCCCUGAGCUUGUGGCGUUGACGAUAGGGGAACGGGUGAGAAACACGUGUGGAACCUCCCCUUGUCUGUGGGAGAACAUCAGGAAACAGGGGCGAUUAUAGCAGAGGAUCUUCUGCAGCGCAUGGGGGAAUGGAGAAUGUCGGCGGUUGUGGAUGGUAUCGCGGUGUAUGAGCUGGUUUGUAGGGUAGUGGCGUACCAAGGCUAUCAAGGGUACGCGACCUGUGAGGCGGAUCGGCCACACGGGAACUGAGACACGGUCCAGACUCCUACGGGAGGGAGCAGUAUGCAAUCUGCCGCAAUGGGCGGAAGCCUGACGGAGCAACGCCGCGUGAGUGAUGAAGGUCUUCGGAGCGUAAAACCCUGUUAUUAGGUAAGAACAUAUGUGUAAGUAACUGUGCACAUCUUGACGGUACCUAAUCAGAAAGCCACGGCUAACUACGUG
rnacentral:rRNA from 1 species